UUCUGGAAAUGCAUAUAAGCCCUGCACUCCGUCCUGAGCAGCAACUGUUGCAAUCAUUAAGGCAAAGCAAAAUGGCAGCAGAGGUGAUGGAGGCCUCAACCUCACUCCAGAUGUCUCAUCCUUUCCAAGAGACAGUGAUUUUUGCAGGCAUGCAGAUGGAAGAAAAACCAUACACAGGCACCCCACUAAUUUUAUCUCAGGACACUCCAGGAUUUUGACCCAGUGGCACUGAAGGAACGGCAAUGUAUUUUCAAGAUAGGAUGGUGUGACACCAAGCAGGAUCACCGAUGGAAAGUAUAUCACCAUUUCAGGGGCAGAUGCUGUCAAGAACAAAGCUUCCAUUUAAAAGAUACAGAACCCCAGCACCAAUGAUUCAUAAGCAUACAGGAAGUUGAAGUCUCCUAGCGAUUUGGGAAUUUUUCCUGAGAAGUAUUCCAGACGACCGAGGAUAUUUGGGGUACAGACUUCUUUGUUAAAUGGACACAAAAUGGUAUGAAAAGGACCAGGCCAAACCCCCUCAAAAUAUAUUAUGAUUGUCUAGACCCAAAUGUUUUCUUAUUUUAAAGAGGUAAAUGUAAAGCAUUGCAUUACAGAUGAAAUUUGAUUAGUUGAGCAAAACAUUUUUCUGUAGUUAAAAUAGACAAAAUUUUAAAAUUGGCUUCACCAUAUAACUGAGAUGCUUAUCAAAAUAUUAACUACCAAUUAGCUGUUCCAAUUUAUUAACACACCAUUGGCAAAGGCAAAUUCAGUAAAAACAGUGUCUCAUACAAUUCUAGCAGAAGGAGAACCCUAGCUUUUAGCUUCCACAUCCAGCUUAAAGACCUCGGUAGCUGCAGAAAGCUAAUACUAAAAAUCCUGGUUCUUUGGGAACUUGACCCCACCCAUUUAUGUUGCUUCUAUUAUUCCAUCUUUUACAAAAUAUCCUCAAGGCUUCACAAGCUGUUUACUCUAUUGGAUUGGAGCAGACUGCUUUUCACCUGUCUCAACCUUUUUUUAACAAAAAAAUGAACAAAAUAUACCUCUGAAAACCACA